rfam:Bacteroidetes bacterium GWA2_30_7 gwa2_scaffold_15305, whole genome shotgun sequence.
CAGGCGGAUUCCGAAAAGCCUUACGAGUAGGAA